ensembl:misc_RNA Metazoa_SRP Metazoan signal recognition particle RNA
GCUGGGUGUGGUGGUGCAUGCCUGUAAUCCCAGCUACGUGGGAGGCUGAGGCAGGAGAAUUGCUGGAACCUGGGAGGCGGAGGUUGCAGUGAGCUGAGAUUGCGCCACUGCACUCCAGCCUGGGUGACAGAGUGAGACCCUGUCUCAA